rnacentral:lncRNA from 1 species
GUACCUGCUUGUCCUCUGCGGGGUCGGGGUCGGGGUCGAGUCCGGGUCCGGUUCCGAGCGGGUCCGGGCCGGCGGGCGGGGGAGAGACGGAGAGACACGAAAAAUGUAAGGGGGUCACUGCACAAAUCAGUCCUCAUCACCGAUGGGAAGACAUGCCCAUUAGAAGAGCACAGAACCCACAGCAGCUGUCUCUGCCUGGAGGGUGCGGCCUGGUCCUGCUUAAAGCCGCCUAUGUCUUGCAGCGGUGGACAGAAUAGGGCUUCAAGGGGGCUGAGUCUCAGUCCACACCAAGUCCCCGAUUCCCUGGGCAGCUGGAGUGAGUGCUACAAAGGGCGCCUGUGCUCCACGGCAGGGAGCCAGCCUGGAUCCAGAGCUGAGGGUCUGAGGGAGGUGGGUCUGCAGCCACAUCUGAUGGGCCUUCAGAGUCCCCUGAAGGAUCUGGGACGGCGCCUGCAAGAUAACACAGAGAGCAGCCCAGGGUAGGGACCAGGCGUGCAGUGUGACUCAGCUGGGAAGAGCUCCCCACGGUAGGGGGCGGAGGGGAACCCUCCACAGGGAUG